rnacentral:rRNA from 1 species
GUGCCAGCCGCCGCGGUAAUACGGGAGUGGCAAGCGUUAUCCGGAAUUAUUGGGCGUAAAGCGUCCGCAGGCGGCCUUUCAAGUCUGCUGUUAAAGCGUGGAGCUUAACUCCAUUAUGGCAGUGGAAACUGAUCGGCUUGAGUAUGGUAGGGGCAGAGGGAAUUCCCGGUGUAGCGGUGAAAUGCGUAGAUAUCGGGAAGAACACCAGUGGCGAAGGCGCUCUGCUGGGCCAUUACUGACGCUCAUGGACGAAAGCCAGGGGAGCGAAAGGGAUUAGAUACCCCUGUAGUCCUGGCCGUAAACGAUGAACACUAGGUGUCGGGGGAAUCGACCCCUUCGGUGUCGUAGCUAACGCGUUAAGUGUUCCGCCUGGGGAGUACGCACGCAAGUGUGAAACUCAAAGGAAUUGACGG